rnacentral:lncRNA from 1 species
CUGUCUCCGGCGACUGGAGAGGGCAUUGGCCAGGAGAAGUGAGACGUGGACAAAAGGCGGGACUGGGAAGGGAUCUCUCGCUUCGACCCGCCUCCGACCCGCGGAGUUGCCCCCUGAGGACUACCAGUCCCAGUGUGCACUGCUUCUUCCCCGGCUCUCCCGCGAGCCGACUCGGAGCCGUGUCUCUCGCUUCUACCCGGGGUAGGCGCGCUGCACCCUGGGACUUGCGGUCCUCCGAGGUCGCCAGUGGUUGCUGGGAUCCCACCUCCCCCUUUCCUCGGCGCCCUACAGUCAACCCUGUCUCGGUGGGCUGCGGAGUCCCGGGAAACCCGUCAGCUGUUUAUCUCUCUUCCUCAGAAAGUUGUUUCCCAGAGAGCUGGCUGAAUGAGGCGCACUGUCCCCAUGUCAGUGCUGCUGCGUUAGGGAAUAGUGUUGGAGUAGUCGUCUACCCUCAGGGAAAUUCCAAAACACAGUAACAGCAAAAUGAAUUGAGCCUUUGAAGGCAUUGCGCUAAGGUUUUUACUCGCAAUCAUCUCAUGCACUCUUCUCAACUCUGAUAGAGUAAGUACCACCAUCCCCCUUUUGCAGACGAGAAAACAGAGGCUUAGAAAAGUUGGUUAACAAGAGCUCGUCACACUGCUGUAUUAGAAUCCAUCCAGCCUCUGAUUCGGAAGCCCUUGCAUUUAACCACCGCGCAGUACUACAAGGAUGAAGGAGCACGUGGGUCCUCGUACAUGAUUAAUAAUAGUUACCUCAAAAGCUCAAUGUAAGGAGAGCUGUGUGGGCUGCAAAGAAGGUUUAAUGAAGGAGAUUGGAACUUGCAAUGAAUUUUGAUGACCGAGUCCCAGGUUAACUAUUGGUAAAAUGACACAUCGGUUCCUCUUGAAAAACCACAUUGUUUUUCUAGUGUGGUCAUUCAAUAGGUGCGGAGUUUAGGAGCUUCGAUGUGAUCUCUGUGACCACAGUAAAUUACUUACGUGUCCUUUAAGCAGUAUUCGGCGGUCUUUCUGGAAACGUUUCUUCCUUGACUUUUAUCACCUUACCUCUUACCUCUUAACCUCUUACCUCUUCUCUGGCUGACCCGUUUUCCUUCAUUCUCUCGCUACUUUAUAUUAAAAUACAGGUGUUCCCUUAAGGUUUUCUUUUUGUCCUUUUUCUCUCUGUACUCUAAUUAUUCCUUGGUGAUUUCUUCUCAUAAGGAUUCAGCCAACAUAUCUCUGUGGUUGAUUUCUAAAUCAAUAUCUGUCCUGAUCAUUAGACCCACAUUUCCACCUCCCUAAUAGAAAUGUCCUAAUGUCUAGCCCAAGGGUAGCUCAAACGUAAGAUGUUUUCUGAUUCAAAUUAAUGCAUCGGAAUCAUUGUCAACUCAUCUUUAGCCUUCGGGGUCCACGUGCAAUUAAUUACCAAAUUAUAUAGAUUUUACCUCUUCUAUCUUUCAGAUUAUUACCUUUCUUUCUAUUCCCACUUUUGCUCCAUUCAAGCUUCCAUUACCUCUCUCCUAAACUAUUGCAGUGUCUCAAUAAAUGUUAAAUAUACUUGCUUCCUUAUUCCUGCAGUUUUCUUAUCUAUAAAGUGGGAAUAAUAUGGUCCUUUUAUCCAGUAGUCCCCAACUUUUUUGGCACCAGGGACCACUUUUGUGGAAGGCAAUUUUUCCACAGGGUGGGGGAGACACCGUUCCAUCUCAGAUCUUCAGGUAUUAGAUUCUCAUAAGGAGCGUGCAACCUAGAUCCCUCGCAUGUGCAGUGCACAAUAGGGUUCAUGCUCCUAUGAGACUCUGACGCAGUUGAUCUGACAGGAGGUGGAGCUCAGGUGGUAAUGCUUGCUCGCCUGCUGCUCCUGAGAGGCAACUGACUGGUACCAGUCCACUGCCCCAGGCUUGGGGAUCCUUGCUUUUAUCUACUAACGUGGAUGCUGUGAAAACACAUGAAGUCAUUUCUGUACAAUAUUUAAUAUCCUUUAUUUUUUUGCAUGGAUCUCCAAUCCUACAUUGGUUCCAUCCUAGUCCUCUUUGGCAGCAUUAAUGUUGAAGUUACCGAUUAUCUCCCUGCUGCCCUACUCUCCUCUAUACAUGGCUGUCAGAAUUGGUAUUCAAGAACAUCUGCAAACCCUCUGAAUACCUUCUUUCUUCCUUCUAGUCUGCCCUGCCCUCAAAUCCUAUGUGAUAACUAAAUAAUUCCUAUUCUGUAUCCUUUCCAUGCCUUUGCUCACACCAUCUCCUAUGCUACCCCAUCAUCUUUGUACAACACUCAACACCUGUUAAGGCUGGGCUCAGAUUCCAUUUCCACAAAACCCUUCCAGAACCUUCUAGUUAGCAGAAGUUAUCCUCUCUCUGUGCCUCCAUGGUAUUCUGUGUCUUUGUUAUUGUGUUUUUCAUAGUCUGCAUACCCACUACAUUUUAACCACAUGAAAAGUAUUGACUUUAGCUUAUUUGUAGGUUGUCUUAGUCCGUUCUCUGUUGCUAUAAUGGAAUACCUGAAAGUGGGUAAUUUAUAAAGAAAAGUAAUUUAUUUCUUACGAUUCUGGACUGGGAAAUCCAAAAACCCGGCACCGGCAUCUGGUUGGCUUCUGACGAGUGCCUCGUGCUGCAUCAUGACAUGGUGGAAAAGCAGGCACGUGUGAAAGAGGUGAAACACGAGGGGCAGCCUCUCUGCAUAACAACCCAUUCUGGCGGUGACUAAUCCAGUCCUGAGAGAAUAAGAACCCACUCUAGCAAGAAGUAACCCAGACCGGAGAGAGCAGCAUUAAUCCCUCUUAAUCACCUCUUAAAGGCCCCAUCUCCCCAGAUCACCAUACCAGGGACCACAUUUCCAACACAGAUAUUCUGAGGGACACACUCAAAUUAUAGCAUAAGGAUAUUCUGAAACACCUAGCACUGUGCCUCUCCUGCUGUAGAUGCUCAGUAAAUGUUGAAUAUACUUGUUUUUGUAUUCCUUCAGUUUCCUUAUCUAAAAAGUGGGAAUAAUAUAGUCCUUUUAUCUACUUACAUAGAUGCUAUGAAAACACAUGAGGUCACUUCUGUACAAUAUUUAAUAUUAUCCUUUCUUUGGACAGAUCUGCAAUCCAACAUUGGUUUCAUCCUGGAUCCUCUUUGGCAGCCUUGGUAAUGAAGUUAGCUAAAUCAAUACAUGAAAUGAAAGAGGAGAAGACAGACAUAGAAGACUAGGCCACAUGAAGACUAAGGCAGAGAUUGGAUUUAUGCAGCUACAUACAAGGAAAGCCUACAGCCACCAGAAUCUGGAAGAGAUAAGGAAGGAUUUGCCACUAAAGCAUUCAGAAGGUUCAACUGAAGGCAUAAAAUGUCAAGUUCCUCAGCUCAAAAUCAAAAUCUCUACUCUGCCACUAUCUUGGUAAUUUAAGCAAAUUAUUCUGCCUCUUUUGGUCUAAGUUUAGUCAUUUGUAAUAUUAAAGUGGUAAAUUAGAUCAGAAGAUCCCAAAAUGACAUUUUGAGAAAUUCUGUUUUGAAGGAUAUGAAUGGGUGUGCCCUAUA